rnacentral:rRNA from 1 species
GAUGAACGCUGGCGGCGUGCCUAAUACAUGCAAGUCGAGCGAACAGACGAGGAGCUUGCUCCUCUGACGUUAGCGGCGGACGGGUGAGUAACACGUGGAUAACCUACCUAUAAGACUGGGAUAACUUCGGGAAACCGGAGCUAAUACCGGAUAAUAUAUUGAACCGCAUGGUUCAAUAGUGAAAGACGGUUUUGCUGUCACUUAUAGAUGGAUCCGCGCCGCAUUAGCUAGUUGGUAAGGUAACGGCUUACCAAGGCGACGAUGCGUAGCCGACCUGAGAGGGUGAUCGGCCAAACUGGAACUGAGAAACGGUCCAGACUCCUACGGGAGGCAGCAGUAGGGAAUCUUCCGGAAUGGGCGAAAGCCUGAAGGAGCAAAGCCGCGUGGGUGAUGAAGGUCUUCGGAUCGUAAAAAUCUGUUAUUAGGGAAGAACAAAUGUGUAAGUAACUAUGCACGUCUUGAAGGUACCUAAUCAGAAAGCCAAGGCUAACUACGUG